GAUAGGAAUACGGCAAAAGGUCAACCCAGUUACCACCAAUCUCAAACGUACAUUUAGUUAAAAAUCUUUUUUAAAGUUGUAGCCACCAUCUCUGCCUUUCCUGAUCUCUGAGGAUGAUACAUGCAGUGAAGUUUCUAAUUUAUGUUAUGAUUCUCACAGAGCAAUUAAGAUAGAUAACUUGGCUAUGAAGGCUGGUCCACUGUCAGACCCCAGAGAUAUGGGGAAGCCAAAUCUGGAAAUAAUUUCCAUUAUUAAUUUUUAGCCAGUUGGUGGUAGUACACACCUUUAAUCCCAGCACUCCGGAGGCAAAGGCAGGUAGAUCUCUGUGAGUGUGAGGCCAGACUGGACCAAUACAGAGCAAGUUACAGGACAGCAAGGGCCACACAGAGUAACUCUGUCUCAGAGAGAGAGAGAGAGAGAGAGAGAGAGAGAGAGAGAGAGAGAAGAAAACGAAAAAUUCUUAGCUCCUAGGUUCUUUCUAUUAGGGAUGGAAAGGCCUCUGCUCAGGAAAGACCAGCAGAUAUUUAUAGCCAUAUAGUCCUGGCUUGACUUCAGUAAAGUUUAAUUCUCAGAAUACACCUGGUACAUUUUGUUGAUGCCAUUGUCCUGGGAGAACCAUGUCCUUCUUUGCAUUUGCCUGGAUACAGAUCAGGCAUUGAUCUGGAAGUUUUUCUCAGUGUCCAUAUAUCCAGACAUGAGGGGAGAUGAGCUCUGAAAUCUUAGGAGACAAGUGCAUGGAGUGAUGCUAAGCUUGAGCCAGUUUUGGCCCAGUACCUUUGCCAUGCAGAAUCUUCCAUCAGUCAAGAUCCACCAUCCUUGAGGCUCUCCUGAACCCCCAAAUCAGAAUAUGACUUGAUCUCUUCUGGAUCAUCUUUAUGGAGGCAGAGUUGGGGUUCAGGGACAGCAGAUAGUUCCAGGAUGCUCUGAGUUUGGGUUGCCCAAGAGCAGCCUCUUUGGUGACUUGAUUUGCACAGCUGUUACCUACCUUGAGUUUGGGAGCUUUUACCUUUUUGGUGUCUUGGCCAGUGUCUUACAGCAAGCUCUGCUGGCAGCCAGAUGGCCUCCAGCAACUGGACAAGUUCGUGUUUGUUUAUCGUAGUCUCUUUCUCUGAGGUGAGUAAGCACCUCUCUUUACAUAUCUGUUCAUGAGCAUAAGCCAUAACAAGCAGAUUGACUGUCUGUGUCCACUUUUUCCCCCUUCAGCCCACCUUAAAGCCUAUAUUAGAGUGAUUAUAUCUGCUUUCAGGGUACUUGUGCCCCCAGGCAAGGCUUGUGCUCAAAUGAUCUACCUUUUUCUAGCCUGUGACCACCACUGUCCCCAGGUACCAUCUCAACUGAAGCUGCACCAUCUGUGUAGAGGGCAUCUGCAUCUAUGGUGGUGAGUGGAAUGUCUGCCAGGUCUGGUAGAGUGUCUUGGAUGACAUCCAGCAUCUCCAGGAAGUCAUGGAUGGACUCCUCAGGCAGCUGGUGGCUGGAUGGUGGAAUUGAUGGCCAAAGAUUUAUCAAAGUGUGCAUUCAACUGCCCAUAUUAAUACAGAACGGAGAGAGUACAAGGGAUGGAGACAGUAAAACCAAAACCAAAACCAAGGCAUACAAAGAGAAGACGAAUGAGACACAAAACCAGAUCAGGGACCUCAGGUGAGCAGUGCAACAUCUCACUUUUUACCCUGGAGAGUAGUGAGUCUUCAGAGACCCCUUCUCAUACCAGAUCAGGAACCCAAACAAAUAAGAUGACACAGAAACUGCUGAGACUUACCAGAGAGGCCUCCCUCCAUGCUUGGUGCUUUUCCUAGCUUGGUAGUUCAUUCUGAUAGACCAAGAAAUCAAAAGCAUGCCAAGCAGCCUUGGAAUGUCCCCAGGUGGAUACCUCCUGAGGUGGCCCUUCAACCCUAGAUUCUGAGAGUGAAGAUAAAGGUUUAGAAUUUGGGUAGGUGGUCUUAUCUCACUGAGGCAUCCAGAAAAAGUUAGUUCCAGUGAUCAAGAAUAAGAACACUACCACAAUUUUUGAGUCAGACUUGAAGUAAACUUUACCUAUUAGGAUGCACCAGAGAGCUGACCAACAACUGCCUCCUAAAUCAGGUUAGAGACAGAGAAGUACAGAGUCCAUUUCUCAGGACCCUUUAAAGGAGCAUGAACAGUUACAAAGCAGGUUUAUAGAAUGGAGACAAUGGGACAGUUGGAGUACAGAAAAAUCUCAACAAAAGAAAACAGCCAUUAUCAUGUGGCCACUGAUCAAGGAGAGUCAGGGUGCUCUCAAAGACAAGUCAAGGUCAUGAAUUGGGGCAGGUCAGAUGCUAGGAAACAAACAAAAACUCAACUUAGAGUCAGCGAAAAUUUAUUUUUUAGCAAUACAACAAAAUGGAUCCUGCUUUCAAAAUGGAGUCGGGCAGAAUCUUGUGUUAGUCAAAAGAGGGCCAAAAAGUGAAUGCUUUAAGGCCAAAUGUGAUGACCCAAAUCUGCCAUCCCAGUACAUAGAUGAUGAAAACAGGAAGGUCAGGAGUUCAAGAUCAUCCUUGGCUACAUACCUAGUCCCAGGCUAACCUGGACCAGAGAAACCUUGCCCCGCCCCCAUUCCCCAAAGUGAAUGCAUUAGGGAUAGAAUACAGAUAAAUGACCCAAGGAAACAAUAAUCCAUUACUCAACAAGUUAGUGCAAAAAAUGCAUGAAGGAGAUUAUCAAUGUUUUUAAGACCCCUAGAUUAUUGUUGGAAGCUGAUGAACAGGAAGUGAUUUGAGCUUUGAGCUCAGAAGACAAUUUGUGCAGCAGACUACUGGAGGGCAUUGUCUUGGGACUUGAAAGCAAAACAGACAAUCAGCUCCGUUGCUGGCUGAGUGCCCUGACAACCAUUAUUUACGCUGUCAGACAGAGGCUUUCCUACAGGAUUCUACAAAGAGCCAGGAGUUUCAGAGAUUCAAACUGGUCACACAGUGGAAAUGGCUAAAAUGAGGAAGUCGACUUCAUGCUGUUGCUUGCCAAGGAUUCCUGGCAUGUGCUGCAGUUGGGGUAACAGUCAGCUUACUCUACACAGAAGACAAAGGCAACGGACUGGAAAAGACCGACGAGAGGACACAUUGGAAUGAAGGCGAAAAAACACCAACACUGGCCAGAGAUGAGAGGCAGACAGGCAUGAAGCAGUUAAACAAACAAGACAGCUUGAAUUGGAGGUACUGGGAUUAGAGUGGGUCAUCCUCCUUUAAUUCCAUUUCUUUUUUGUUUGUUUGUUUGUUUGUUUUUUUCAGAGCUGGGGACCGAACCCAGGGCCUUGUGCUUGCUAGGCACGCGCUCUACCACUGAGCUAAAUCCCCAACCCCUUAAUUCCAUUUCUUUUAUCUCAUGUUGGUCUUUUUCUCCCCAAUUCAUGAUUGCACCAAAUAAUCUAGGGAAGGACUUUCCAUCAACAAAAUACCAAUCCUCGGGUGUAAAUUAUUGCACUCCUGAUGUGAUUCCCAAGAGUAUUUGCACUGGCGAGCUGUGUGAACGUGGGUGAGUGUCUUGACUUUUCUGGGCCUCUUUCCCUAUCGGUGGAAAGACGAUGAAAUUCUUACUUACCAUGUGGGAUUCUUAUGGAAGUGAAAUUGAGAAGGCUAGGCUGACUCCAUGACAGGCUUCAAAUUGGCAGUUCAGGAUUGGGCAAGCUCAGUCAAGUCCAAGCCUCAGAAGCUGCCCCAUCACCUGGCCUGAGGUAAGGACAAUGGGUCAGCAGCAGUUUCAGACUUCUUCAGCUACUUUUUCAGCAAUAAUUCCAGACCUCCACACCCCAGUAAUGGAAUGUCCUAGAGAUGGAGUAAGAUAAAGGUCACCUACCCAGAAUGCCCUAAUGUGCUUUAAAUCAGGCCUGCAAGCUCACUUGUCUCUCUAUCUUGGUAAUGGGAGACCCCAGCAUGCUGGACUUCUACAGAAUAAAGCACUCUUUGCAUUUAUGUACUAUUCGAGUUCAGAGUGUCAUUCUUCAGCAAAUCAUGGGCCCUUACACUUGGAGGCUCAUCUGGGAUUUGCUAGAGAUGCCCCCUGACCCAAAAAUGGAAUGUUUUUCCGACCAGUAAGUCUGGGCACCUGGUUGUCUUUUGUCUUGUCCAUAUCUCUUUUGGGGGGGGGGGGUUAAUUCAGCUUCAGAUUUAAUCUGGAGGCCAAGAGGGGCAAAGUAGACAUGUAUUUUGUUAUCCAGCCAAGGGCAAUGGAGGUUGUUCCUGACCCCCUACCAGAAGCUGAAGAGCUUUCUAGUUGUCAUCUGGUUUUCAAACUGUGGGUCUGUGGACCUCCCAUGCACAGGGAGGAAGACUGGCUGAGACAGUCUUUGGUUUGGUUUAGCUUUCUGGGAACGUCCCUUUGUCUUGUGUACUGUUUGUGCUUUUCGUCCUCUCCUACAAUUUUUUUCUUUGGUUCUUAGGGUGGAACAGGAACAAAGCACCCCACUAGGUUCAGUCCUGAACCCCAUUCAGGACUUUCACCGAGUCACAGAAGACUUGGUUCUGGUUGUCUGUCACUGCAAAUUAACUAACCAUCUUUUGCAGGAAUGAAUGGCCCUCCAGUAGCCUGAGGAGGGGACUUUUCAUCUCCCUGCCUGUCAUUCACAGGGUGAAGGUUUAGUUUAAGAGACCUGGGGCCACCCGGACCAAGUUCCACAUAUCACCACAUGGCAAUACCUGAUGGAGAAGCCCCUUGUUUUGGAUGAAACCUUUUUUUUUUUUUUUUUUUUUUUUUGUUACGGGCUCUGCCACUCCCCACCUUUCUUUCUCCAAAGGAGGGUCAGCCACCGCCCCCUCCCUAGCUCCACCUUUAUGCCCUGAGGAGCAUCUCUGUCUCCCCUCCUAUGUUCCUGCUCCUGCACUGCUGCUGGUUCCCAACAGCAUGAGGACUUGGGUGAGUACCUGUGGGCCCAUCCCCAAAUAAUGUGUUCCAGUAUGUAUUGCAGGGGCCUCUGACUUGGAGACAUGGUAGGAGGCCACACGAGCUGAGUCAACUUGGCUACCAAGUAUCUGCUAAGAAGGCCCAGUUUUGUCAACCAGGUCACCUACCUGCUGUACAUAUUCAAGGGGUGGUAGCCUGUGAUGGUUUGUGUAUGCUGGGCCUGGGGAGUGGCACUGUUGGGAGUUGUGGCCUUGUUGGAGUAGGUGUGGCCUUGUGGAUGUGGGGCUUUAAUACCCUUGUCUUUGUUGCCUGGGAGUCUAUUCUGCUAGCAGCCUUCAAAUGAAGAUAUAGAGCUCUCAGCUCCUCCUGCAUCAUGCCUACGUAGAUGCUGCCAUGCUCCUGCCUUGAUGAUAAUGGACUGAACCUCAGAACCUAUAUGCAGCAUGAUUGCUCUAUAGCACAUAUCCAGAACAUCAGGCUGGACUUGACUGACAAACGCUGGCCAAACACAGAAGGCCUCUACUUCACGGAUGGGAGCAGCUUCAUCCAGAAUGGAAUCAUGUUUGCAGGGGCAGAGGUGUCUUUUCAGGAUGGGCAGAAGCCUACCCUACAAAGAAGGAGAGUACCAAUGUAGUGGCAGAGAGGCUUCUGGAAGACAUUAUACCCAGGUGACAAAGUCUGGAUUAAGCGGCAUAACCACAAGGCUUUGGAACCUUGCUGGAAAGGGUCUGACACUGUGAUCCUGACCACACCUUUGACUGUUAAGGUGGAUGGGAUCAGGAUGUGGAUACACCUCCCAUGUUCAGCCUGCCAGGAGACAAAAUCCAGUAAUUAAAGUCCCAGCAGAGGAGACUUCCAGGGGAUGUCACAAGAAUGAUGGAAGGUCACCCUACACCCUGUCAGUCUGCCGAGUCUGUGACUCCAGUGUCCUGAUCCUGCUUGCUAGCUGCUGCUUCUUUGCUGCACCAGCCACUGGCCCCUUACUAUCUGGGUACCCCUAAGGGGUGAUACAACAACCUUGUCAUCAACGUCACAGUGUCUAGCAGGAAGACUGAUUAGACUGCCGGUUCUUAACUCCUCUUACCGGACAGGGACUCUGCAUUGAAAAUAAGGUACCCCCAUCCUAUUCCCACCUCUGCAACUGCACUGUAACCCCUACUGUUACAGGAUACAUGCUGUCCCCAGAGAACGCUUGGUGGGCUUGUACCUGGGGCUUACUCCAUGCAUUUAUGGCCUGAUUGUAAAUACGACUGAAGAUCUUUCAGCUUGUACCCAGAGUGACUAAUUACUCUGGGGAGGAUAUCGUCAACCAGCUAGCACCUCCAAACAAUUGAGUUAAUAGGGUGGCCAUUUCUGUUGUAUUACUAGGUUCUCCCCUUGGCAUAGGGCUGGCUGGAGCUGCCCCAACACCAGGCCUGAGGUAAGGACAAUGGCUCAGCAGCAGUUUCCAGCCUCUACACCCCAGUAAUGGAGUGUCCUAGAGAUGGAGUAAGAUAAAGGUCACCUACCCAGAAUGCCCUAAUGUGCUUUAAGUCAGGCCUGCAAGCUCACUUGGUUGUCUUUCUAUCUUGGUAAUGGGAGACCCCAGCAUGCUUGGCUUCUGCAGAAUAGAACACUCUUCGUGUUUACAUACUAAUUGAGUCAAGGGUGUCAUUCUUUGGCUAACCAUGGGCCCUUACAAAAUGAGAAUGCAGAAGCUGUUAGCAGUGUGCGGUCUGUGCAUUCCACACACUAAGUAAAUGGAGUAAGUAAAUGUUAAUUUUGUCCUCACCCGGUGUGGACCACAUUGGUUUUUAUGGAACUCUGGCCCAGUGUACCCUAGCCUUUGACACAUAACUAAAUGGAUAUGGCCAUUUUCUUGCGCUGAUCUUUGAGAACAGAGAUGCCGGCCUUCCAUUUGGUCUAUGCCGCUUGUUUCUUCCAGUCAGCCACAGACCCUAUUCUGAGGUACCAUUCUGAAGGUACCAUACUGUCAACUGAUGUAGCACAGAGUUUCACAUGGGUGCUGCCCCACAUGUGAGCCCAGAAUAUGGUUUCAUGUCUCUUCCACCAAAGUUUUCCCGGCAAAAUGAAGAAGUCCCCUGAGCACUUCAGGGCUCGCAAGGCUUUCCUCACAGGCCGCAGGCCUCCAUCAUCGAUCUGAGCUUCCAUCACUGAAAUCUAACUUCAAGAAAAGAACUCACCAAGAUGAGCCCAUUAAAAUUUUCCAAACUUCUGCAUGGUCAGAAUCCUUUGGUGAUCAUGAAGAAACAAACAAAUAAACAACAACCUGCCUGCUAUGUACAGGCUGGAUUCCAUUAUUUAAUUAAUGUAAGUCCACAAUGACAGCUGGGAAUCUGUGUGAGAAACUUCUGUCCCCUCUGUGUUAUUCAGAAACCAAAGGAGAGCUGUAGAGUGGGACAAGGGAGCAUAGCGGGGCUAAACAUAAGCUAAGUAUACUUUUCAUAAUGAAGCUUGUGCUGUCCAUCGACGACAAUUAGUUAAAAUACAUGAAAUUUUUUUGGUUUAUUUUGUUUGUUUUAUUUGUUUUUGAGACAAGGUUUCUUUGUGUGGUCCUGUUUGUCUUGGAACUUUCUUUGUACACUAGGCUGGCCUUGGUCUCAUAGAUCUGCCCACCUCUGCCUCCUGACUGCUGGGAUCAAAGAUGUGCGGCAUCACUGCCUAGAUUGGUGGUUGUUUGUUUUUGAGACAGAUCUCUCUACAUAGCUCUGGCUGUCCUGGCCCUCACUAUUUUGUCCAGCCUGGCCUCAAACUCAUAGAGAUCCACCUGCCUCUGCCUCCUAAGGGCUGGGAUUAAAGGCAUACAUCUCUGUACCCACUUAAAAACAUUAUUUUUUGUUUUUUUGAAGACAGGGUCUCACUAUCUAGUUUUUGUUGGCCUAGAGCUCCGUAGGUAGACCAGGCUAGCCUUAAACUCAGACAUCCACCUACCUUUGCCUCCUGAGUACUAGCCUUAAAGGUGUGCACUAUCUUCACUGGCAAAAACAUUUUAAGUGAGCAAAACUC